UACGUAGGGUGCAAGCGUUAAUCGGAAUUACUGGGCGUAAAGCGUGCGCAGGCGGUGAUGUAAGACAGUUGGGAAAUCCCCGGGCUCAACCUGGGAAUUGCAUCUGUGACUGCAUCGCUAGAGUACGGUAGAGGGGGAUGGAAUUCCGCGUGUAGCAGUGAAAUGCGUAGAUAUGCGGAGGAACACCGAUGGCGAAGGCAAUCCCCUGGACCUGUACUGACGCUCAUGCACGAAAGCGUGGGGAGCAAACAGG
rnacentral:rRNA from 1 species